ACUACAACCGCACAAAUAAUGGUUAUAAAGUGAUUAAGUCCACCAUAUUUGGCGAGUCUUAGUAAU
rnacentral:sRNA from 1 species